GAUAGUAGAAAUUUUAAGAAGGUGUAGAAUUGCCAGGUGGUGAGUAAUUAAGGAUCAAGCUGUGAAGAGGUGAAAUUUAAUUCCACUACCAACUUAAUUAGAGGAUGAAGAAGCUGGAGAGCAAAGAGCUCAUCCUUGUCUGAAUUUCCUUUUGGAGAAGCAGAAGCAGAGGGAGUCCCAAGGGAUGAGGACUCCCCACAUCCUGUGAUGGCCACCAGGAAUUUGGGAUCAGUUUCAUAAAACCUACAGAUUGCCAAAGGAGUAAUCCAGCCCAGUGUCAUGGAGUGGUUACACAGGUGUCAGAGGAGCUAAUCUUGAUCUAUAGCACCAGGAGGAGAAAGGAGACCCAGCGUGAACAUAAAAAUGCCAUCUAUCCAAAAUUCUCUCACAGAAUCUUCUUCAUAUCCAUCCUAAACUUUUGACCUGGCUUUCAUCUUUGUUCUUCAAGGCAAUUUACUCUCAAGAUGCCCAGCCACAUCCAGCAGAUGUUAUUGUGAUUAAGUGCUGAUCUAGCACCCAGUUGCUGGAGAAGGAUACCAGUGUCCUGCAUUCACAGCAUCAUCCUUCCCAACCUUUCCCACUCUGUUCCAACAGUUCAUCUUUGUGAUUAAGUGCUGAUCUAGCUCCCAGUUGCUGGAGACAGAGACCCUGAAGACAAAAAGCUGUUAAUGAAGAAAUUAGCUCUACAAUUGAUCCUAGAGCCACGCUUAAGUGCGAACAAUAGCUCUGUCUAUUGAACUGCCACAGUUGCUGAGUAAUUAAUAACAUCUUUGUAUCGCAGGCUAUAAAACAUCCUGUGGAUUUCUGCAGUGCAAUCCCAUUUUGUCUUGCUGAGUGUAUCACUGGCUGCCUAACAUCAUAUCAUCCCUCUGGAAGAAGGCUGUCGAGAUUAUACCUCUACGUGGCCACAGAACCUUUCCCUGAAAAAUGUAAUAGUAGACAAGGAAUACACCUUCUGUGCACUGUUUAGGUAAUAAAUAUAUUAAUAUUUUAUGUAUAUUUUUCAUUUUCCACCUUCCCACAGUAGAUCACCUGCUUGUCUCUAUAUUCUUUGGUGAAAGGAGCUAUCUCUCUGCUAUACUAUCUGUGGCCAGGAAGGCCAUCCCUGACCUGGUUGGGGACCUCAGAAUUAUUGAACUGUUCACGCUGAAGGGACCCUUAAAGAUCAUCUAGCCCAACUCCCCUGCAAUAAACAGGGACAACUAAAGCUAGAUACACAUGUGGAGCUGUUUCAGGAGGAUGCCCUAGUUUCCCAGGUCCUCGGCAGCUUUCAGUUUUCCCAACAGCCUGCAGCUUGCUUGUACAGCAGGGAGGAACGUCAGAGGGACGACAGGAAAGCAGAACACAUCUCCUUGCAACUUGCCCUUUGACCACACCUAAUGAACCUUUUAUGUGCUAAUAAUGCUAAGGACCUAAAUAAAGAAAACAAAUUAAUAAAGGGUUGAAGCCUAGUAGUUAAUUACAACAUCCAAUUAUAGAUGAGAAUCCUCAGCUUUGCUGCAGGUUGCUAAUACACACAAAGCUUCGUUUCACCUGUAAGGAUAUCCCAGAUGCGUAGCAAUCUGCUCAGCUCCUAAAUGAGAGAUUCUAGCUUCAAAGAUCAAUAAUGCAUAAAUGAAGAAACUAAGAAUAGAAGCUGAAAGACCAAGCCAACAAUGCCUUGAAACCAAACGUGGCCUGAUUCCUUGAACUGAAAACCAGAUUUCAUUUCUCCCCUUGAAGAAGUGCUUUCUUUCCAUCUGCCUCCUCAUCGCAUGUUUCUUGCAGCUGCAUGUUUACAGACGCCAAGAUGAUGCUGCAGUUAUGUCAGAACCAGGGCAAUUGCAUAAUCCAUCAAAUUGAAUGCAGACUGUCUGACAGUGACAGCUGCCAGCUAAUAAUAAGGUUUCCGUCAGAAGCCAAAGAGAAUAAUCCAGCCUUUAUAAGCAGUGGCAAUAAGAAAAAGUAAGGCUUAGCUCUGCAAGACUGGGUCACCAAUACAGGAGGGAAAAAAAACCAAGCAUUUCCCAAAAAUAAAACUUUCCUUCUAAUAUGUGAGUUUAGAGACAGCAGUUCUGACCAUCCAUUCGCUCUCUCUUUUUCACUUAAUAACUUUAAUAAUCAACAGACAUUGACCCACGUGAACUAUGUCAACACCCCUGAAGUGCAGUGGAAGACAGAAAUCAAGACUGCAAAAUAAUUGCUCUUUUAAGAGGGAUUUUCAGUGCACUUUAAUGCACUUUAUUGACUUCUAAGAUGCACAACUUUAUUACUUCCAAGAUUCAAUUUCCUCUGGUAUGUAUUUGUGUGAGAGUCAUUUAUUUGAAAGGAGGGUGGGUAUUUGCUUGUGGACAUCGAAGUGGGGCUCACUGCUAGAACCUUAGCAUCCUUUAGUAAGUGGGUAGAUUAUUUAACUACUGGAAAAAGAAAGCUGUGACACAUGGUUUUAUAAAUCUCCACCCAAAUUUACACAUGCAAGCAGUAUUUGGAGCACAGGCACACUCCAGCUCCACUGACUUAGAGAAUCACUGCAUGUGAGCUCAGCCCAAGGAAUCAUUGAUGUGCACACCAUUCACAAACAGCUACAGUGAGAGAAUCUGAUCUAAGUUUAUCCACUUUUUAUUACUGAACUAAAUCUAACUGCCAUCCAUGGAAUUUGAGCAUGCAGAGAGAUAAUUCUAGCUCAGCAGAGUGGUGAUCCCUUAAUUCUAGCCAGGCUGGGUGUGCAAGCCCAUGGAUAUCAGAGUUUACCUCCACUGCAGCUGAGAUGGGCAGCUCAGAAGUUUUAAAGCCUCCAAUAUGCAAUGGUAACUGAUAUAAAGCUGCCUGGGCAUGCACAAUGAAAUGAACAAUUCAUUCAUUUGGUCAAACAAUUUCCUUGAAGCACAGAGGGUGCUGCUCAGCUGGUUGCAAGCAGACGGCAUCAGAUCUGACCACCUUGGGCACUGCGUGUCGUGUCAUUACUCUUGGGUUGCAUUACACUUGUACAACUCAGUCUAUAAUCAUUAGGGACCGUGAACCUUUUAUUUUACAGGAGCAUUUUAAGCAUUACAUAUGUGCUGCAGCUAUUUGCUGGAGCACUUCUUGUUGCCUUGUGACUCUUUUGCCAUUGGCAAGGAUGAAAUUUCCCGUUUGACAAUCACAUGGUGUGCACCAUGAGCAUUGUUCUUGUCCCUGAAAUACAGAUGUGAGCCUGCAAAGCCAACCCUGGGGCAGCACCUUUCCAAGCACACAUUCUUCUGCACCAACUCCAUGCAGUCCUGGAGCUGCUCUCAGAAUACCUCAAACUUCUGACAGUGAAGGACCAUUUCUACCACAGUGAUCGGAGCUUCACAGUGCUCAGCAUCAAUGACUGGCAUCAGGAGAAAUGCUGAGAGAAGCACUCAGCAUAGUCAGAGAGGCAGAAGAACAGAAAAAGAAUACAGUAGCAGAGAAAGGUGGAAUCACUUGCUCAGGAUCAAGCAGCAGAUCAGUAGCAAAGCUCACAUUUCUGACUGUUAAUUCACAGCACAGGGACUCAGUCUCUUGAUGUCCUCAUGUUCCAAUGCUCAGGAGGGCUGUAAUCUUCAGCAGUGAGCACACAGGUGGUUAAUUAAAAUGCUGGUGCUUUUGCCUUACGAUUUAACAUUUCUGUACUCUGUCAUCUUUAUUUUUGUAAGAUUAAUU